rnacentral:rRNA from 1 species
GACGAACGCUGGCGGCGUGCUUAACACAUGCAAGUCGAACGGAAAGGCCCUGCUUUUGUGGGGUGCUCGAGUGGCGAACGGGUGAGUAACGUGUGAGUAACCUGCCCUUGACUUUGGGAUAACUUCAGGAAACUGGGGCUAAUACCGGAUAGGAGCUCCUGCUGCAUGGUGGGGGUUGGAAAGUUUCGGCGGUUGGGGAUGGACUCGCGGCUUAUCAGCUUGUUGGUGGGGUAGUGGCUUACCAAGGCUUUGACGGGUAGCCGGCCUGAGAGGGUGACCGGCCACAUUGGGACUGAGAUACGGCCCAGACUCCUACGGGAGGCAGCAGUGGGGAAUAUUGCACAAUGGGCGGAAGCCUGAUGCAGCAACGCCGCGUGCGGGAUGACGGCCUUCGGGUUGUAAACCGCUUUCGCCUGUGACGAAGCGUGAGUGACGGUAAUGGGUAAAGAAGCACCGGCUAACUACGUG